rnacentral:rRNA from 1 species
CUACUAUAAGACUGGGAUAACUUCGGGAAACCGGAACUAAUACCGGAUAAUAUUUUGAACCGCAUGGUUCAAAAGUGAAAGACGGUCUUGCUGUCACUUAUAGAUGGAUCCGCGCUGCAUUAGCUAGUUGGUAAGGUAACGGCUUACCAAGGCAACGAUGCAUAGCCGACCUGAGAGGGUGAUCGGCCACACUGGAACUGAGACACGGUCCAG